rnacentral:rRNA from 1 species
ACGAACGCUGGCGGCGUGCUUAACCCAUGCAAGUCGAACGGUGAAGGGGUCUGCUUUUGUGGGCCCUGGAUGAGUGGCGAACGGGUGAGUAACACGUGAGUAACCUGCCCCCUUCUUCUGGAUAACCGCAUGAAAGUGUGGCUAAUACGGGAUAUUCUGGGUCUGUCGCAUGAUGGGUCUGGGAAAGAUUGCGCCUUUGGGUGUUUUUGGUGGGGGAUGGGCUCGCGGCCUAUCAGCUUGUUGGUGGGGUGAUGGCCUACCAAGGCGGUGACGGGUAGCCGGCCUGAGAGGGUGGACGGUCACACUGGGACUGAGACACGGCCCAGACUCCUACGGGAGGCAGCAGUGGGGAAUAUUGCACGAUGGGCGCAAGCCUGAUGCAGCGACGCCGCGUGAGGGAUGGAGGCCUUCGGGUUGUAAACCUCUUUCGCCAGUGAAGCAGGCCUGCUCCUUGUGGGUGGGUUGACGGUAGCUGGAUAAGAAGCGCCGGCUAACUACGUG